CGGGCGGAGAAGGCGGGAGGCGCGGCCAUCGUGCUCGCUAGCGCUCCAUGAGCGGCCAAAAGGCGGCAGCGAAGUCCCGGCGGCAGCAGGAGCAGCUGCCUGAACCCAAACCGGCAUGGCCGAGGCCCCUCCCCCAAUGGCACCCGUGGGAUCCUGCUACUUAACCUCUGAAGUACAGUUGUUUGCUUCAGUGAAGAUGAAAGCCUUUUUGGCCUGCUCCUUUCAGGAAUUUAAAGGGAAUUCACUGGAGCCAGUGGAAAUCCUAUUUUCAUCAUAAAGUGUGGAUUUCUGUGGCUUAAAAGAAUGGAACCAUCAUGCAUAAGGAAAAUGAUCAUUUAAAAGAAUAAUAAUUUUCAUGUAUUAUUAUUUUGUAUAAGAAAAUGGAGUUGGUAUUGUUUCUAAAAAGUGGAUGCUUGAUAUGUCAAACAAUUAUAAGCUGUUUCAAAACUUGUUAAAAACACUUUGAACAAAGGUGGAGAGGGCUUUUAGGAGAAUUGAGUAGAUGUGUCAAAAAGGGGAGGGGGAAAUGAACUUUUGUAAGGGGAUAAAAGCUGAUGAAUGCUUUGUUCCAUGUCCACUAUCUGUGCACCCGUGUUUGCAAAUACGUGAAUGAACUUCUUUGCUGCUUUCAAGUUGUUGUCUCGGGUAGUUCUAUAUGUGUCCACUGUUUGUAACAACUAAUUGAUAUAAUAGGGCUUGGCUGAAAAUCAGGAUGUACACAGGCAUGUAUCUCUCAGCGAUUGAUACCCCUGCACAGGUAGUCCUCGACACAAUUGAGCCCAAAAUUUAUGUUGCGGAGACAUUUGUUAAGUAAAUUUUGCCCCAUUUUACGACCUUUCUUGCCACAGUUGUUAAAUGAAUUACUGCAAUUGUUAAGUUAGUAACACGGUUGUUAAGUGAAUCUGGCUUCCCCAUUGAUUUUGCUUGUCAGGUCAUAAAAGGGGAUCACAUGAGCCCCAGGACAUUACAACGGUCAUAAAUAUGAGUCAAUUGCCAAACGUGUGAAUUUUGAUCACAUAAUCAUGGGAAUGCCGCUACAGUCUUAGUGUGAAAAAUAGUCAUAUUUCAUUUUUUUCAUAAAUUCACAUGCUUAAAAACAAAGGAAGCCUGUUUUCCCUUUGUUAUAUCUGUUUUAUAAAUGUAUUUAUUUGUUUGUUAAAUGUAUAAAUUACAAAAUAAAUACCCAUCAGAUGUUUGGAAAGUUUAAAUGAUCUGUUAUAAAUGGCUUAAGGACCUGUAGUCUAUAAUGUAAUGUCAAGAAAUUUCUAAAUAAUAAUAUUUCAGUUUUGAAAAAUCAGUAUAAUUGUUUUUGCAGAAAUCAGAAAAUAUGUGAAUCUCAUCUUUGUAUAUCUAGAAUUUUUACAAAGAUACAUAAAAAGACAAAUAAGCAGAGACUGGUUAUUCACAAGACAAUCCUGCAUUGGUGAGGAUUGAUAAACCUUCAUUCUUGAAAAAAUAUUUAAAUUUCCAAAUUCCAGCACAAUGAGAAUCAUCCAGAAAUGUGUGUUACCAACUGAGAUUUACUCUUCUAGUAUAAGGAUAGUUUGCUCAAUGGAGUUUAGCAGGUUGAUAUAUAGAAUAUAUCACAUUGUAAGACAGACAAGUGAAUGGUACAAUGGUUAAUAAAUCUUGUAAUAAUACUGCCAAAAUAGCUCUGGGAAUAAGAAUUAGCAUUUUGGCCUAUCAGUCCUGGGUCCAAAUCUUUUGCAUUAUUGUUUCAUGGAGAGUAGAUAUUAUGGAUCAAGGCACUAUCUAUAUAAACAAAUAUAGGAUGAUAACUCCUUAUCUGUGAUUAACUAUAGGAAAAUUGUAACUUGAAACAAUCAGAAACUUCUUUCAUGCAGAAGAUUUUUUUCCCCUUGAUUUCAAUCCCUGGCCUAUUGUUUUUUAGUUUAUUAGGUUGAUAUUUGAAAAAUGCUCUGAUCUUAUGAAUCAGAGAGAUAUUGUUGUAUUAUAAGGUUUAGUUAUAAACAGUGGUCUGUUGUUUAUCCAAUAAUUCUCAGGAGAAACCUCAGGACCAAAUGAGAAAGCUGCUUUUAGCUGAUUGGCCAUAACUUAUAGUUCCCUGCAUCCCACAAAAAUAAUUGUCUAUAAUUAUUGCCAUUAACUCAGGUGAGAAACCUAGAAUUCAUCAUUUCUGUCUCCAUGUGGUUUUUGCAGCCUUGUAUACGUUAUCUUACAAUUUUUCCUUGGGUUUUGGUCCUUUAUAAUUACCAGGUAUUACACAACAUUUGGAUUUCUUUUUCUGCAAUCCCUUACAUAUUUUAUAUGUUCAAGUGAAUUUAAAAAUAAAAUUCAUGAUUUAA